AACGCACGAGACCUGCGGACCUGCGGAAGGAUCAUUACCGAGUUUACAACUCCCAAACCCAAUGUGAACGUUACCAAACUGUUGCCUCGGCGGGAUCUCUGCCCCGGGUGCGUCGCAGCCCCGGACCAAGGCGCCCGCCGGAGGACCAACCAAAACUCUUUUGUAUACCCCCUCGCGGGUCUUUAUAUCUGAGCCAUCUCGGCGCCUCUCGUAGGCGUUUCGAAAAUGAAUCAAAACUUU
rnacentral:misc_RNA from 1 species